rnacentral:misc_RNA from 1 species
UGUUGAUGUGAUAAAAUUCACUAAGAUUUUGAGGAAAGUCCCCAUUGUAGUGAAAAAUUGUACUGGUUUUGCUGUCAACCGAAGCUUCUUCCCUUAUAUGCAAGGACCAGACCUGUUGGCAAAUUUAGGCGUUGAUAUCUUCAGAAUUGACCGCGUUAUCACUGAGUUUGGCAUGAGACUUGGUCCUUUUCAGCUUCAGGAUCUUUCCG